GAGGAAUAUUGGUCAAUGGGCGAGAGCCUGAACCAGCCAAGUCGCGUGAAGGACGACGGUUCUAUGGAUUGUAAACUUCUUUUGUAGAGGAAUAAUGGCAGCUACGCGUAGCUGAGAUGCAUGUACUCUACGGAUAAGUAUCGGCUAACUCCGUGCCAGCAGCCGCGGUAAU
rnacentral:rRNA from 1 species